CAGCCGCCGCGGUAAUACGUAGGUGGCAAGCGUUGUCCGGAAUUAUUGGGCGUAAAGGGCUCGCAGGCGGUUUCUUAAGUCUGAUGUGAAAGCCCCCGGCUCAACCGGGGAGGGUCAUUGGAAACUGGGAAACUUGAGUGCAGAAGAGGAGAGUGGAACACCACGUGUAGCGGUGAAAUGCGUAGAGAUGUGGAGGAACACCAGUGGCGAAGGCGACUCUCUGGUCUGUAACUGACACUGAGGAGCGAAAGCGUGGGGAGCGAACAGGAUUAGAUACCCGAGUAGUCCCUGUCUCUUAUAC
rnacentral:rRNA from 1 species